GGUUGGGCAAACUUCGGUUUGUUUUCAAGUACUUUUGUUUCCGGGGGGGGAAGCU
rnacentral:ncRNA from 1 species